AAGGUAGAAAUAUGUAGGGUACAAAUAUGUACCUUACACCUCAGAAAGUCCACACUGUACAAUGGAAGGUGUAUAAAUGUACCUUAAAGGUGCAUAAAUGUACCUUAAAGGUGCAUAAUUGUACCUUAAAGGUGCAUACAUGUACUUUAAAGGUGUAUUAUUGUACCUUCAGGUGCAUAAAUGUACCUUAAAGGUGCAUUAUUGUACCUUGAAGGUGCAUAAAUGUACCUUAAAGGUGCAUAAAUGUACCUUAAAGGUGCAUACAUGUACUUUAAAGGUGUAUUAUUGUACCUUAAGGUGCAUAAUUGUACCUUAAAGGUGCAUACAUGUACUUUAAAGGUGUAUUAUUGUACCUUAAGGUGCAUACAUGUACCUUAAAGGUGCAUAAAUGUACCUUAAAGGUGCAUAAUUGUACCUUAAAGGUGCAUAAUUGUACCUUAAAGGUGCAUACAUGUACUUUAAAGGUACAUGUAUGUACUUUAAGGUGCAUUAUUGUACCUUAAAGGUGCAUAAAUGUACCUUAAAGGUGAAUAAUUGUACCUUCAACAUACAUUUUUGUACUUUUAAGGGAACAUUUGCUAAGUUUGUACCUUAGGGAACAAAAAUGGACCCGUAUUGUUGUACCUCUUUUUUUGACAGUGCAGCUAUAGAGAGAGAAAUGAAAUUGAGGGGGGGGGGUCGUCCUUUCGACUGAUGCGCUGUAUUAGAAAUCAGAUAAGGAGUGUUUGUUCUCUGCUGUAAUCUCAUUCAGGGCUGCUGUCGCUCUCAGAGCUCGAUCAUUGUUCGCUAGCUGUUGACAA